UUUUCAGUGAGGUACAUCCUUAUCUGUUUCUCCAGGAUUGGAGUUACAGAACAUGAUGAAUGGAAAAUCAUGAGAUAUGAAUAAUAUCUCCUGUUUGCAGAGAAGAGCAAAACUCAUUCUGAC